AGGACGAACGCUGGCGGCGUGCCUAACACAUGCAAGUCGAACGAGGUCCAUCCGGUAGCAAUACUGGUGAAGAUCAAGUGGCGAACGGGUGAGUAGCACGUGAGCAACCUGCCCCGAAGACCGGGACAACACCGGGAAACCGGUGCUAAUACCGGAUACCCCCACCGAAUCGCAUGGUUUGGUGAGGAAAUGGAUUCCGCUUCGGGAGGGGCUCGCGGCCUAUCAGCUUGUUGGUGAGGUAACGGCUCACCAAGGCUUUCGACGGGUA
rnacentral:rRNA from 1 species